UACAGAGGUCCCAAGCGUUGUUCGGAUUCACUGGGCGUAAAGGGUGCGUAGGCGGUCGGGUAAGUCUGACGUGAAAUCUCCAAGCUCAACUUGGAAAUGGCGUCGGAUACUAUUCGGCUUGAGGAAUGGAGGGGAGACUGGAAUUCUCGGUGUAGCAGUGAAAUGCGCAGAUAUCAGGAGGAACACCGGUGGCGAAGGCGGGUCUCUGGGCCGAUACUGACGCUGAGGAGCGAAAAGCGUGGGGGAGCGAACAGG
rnacentral:rRNA from 1 species